UACGGGGGGGGCAAGCGUUGUUCGGAAUUACUGGGCGUAAAGGGCUUGUAGGCGGCCAACUAAGUCCGACGUGAAAUCCCCAGGCUUAACCUGGGAACUGCGUCGGAUACUGGAUGGCUUGAAUUCGGGAGAGGGAUGCAGAAUUCCAGGUGUAGCGGUGAAAUGCGUAGAUAUCGUAAGGAAGACCAGUGGCGAAGGCGGGUCUCUGGACAGUUCCUGACGCUGAGGCACGAAGGCCAGGGGAGCAAACGGG
rnacentral:rRNA from 1 species